rnacentral:rRNA from 1 species
GCGGCAACAGCUCAAAUUUGAAAUCUGGCCCCCAGGGCCCGAGUUGUAAUUUGCAGAGGAUGCUUUUGGCGCGGUGCCUUCCGAGUUCCCUGGAACGGGACGCCAUAGAGGGUGAGAGCCCCGUCUGGUCGGACGCCUAGCCUGUGUAAAGCUCCUUCGACGAGUCGAGUAGUUUGGGAAUGCUGCUCUAAAUGGGAGGUAUAUGUCUUCUAAAGCUAAAUACCGGCCAGAGACCGAUAGCGCACAAGUAGAGUGAUCGAAAGAUGAAAAGCACUUUGAAAAGAGGGUUAAAUAGUACGUGAAAUUGUUGAAAGGGAAGCGCUUGUGACCAGACUUGGGCCCGGUGGAUCAUCCAGCGUUCUCGCUGGUGCACUCCGCCGGGUUCAGGCCAGCAUCAGUUCGCCGCGGGGGAAAAAGGCUUCGGGAACGUGGCUCCUACGGGAGUGUUAUAGCCCGUUGCAUAAUACCCUGGGGCGGACUGAGGUUCGCGCUCCGCAAGGAUGCUGGCGUAAUGGUCAUCAGCGACCCGUCUUGAAACACGGACCAAGGAGUCGUCUUCGUAUGCGAGUGUUCGGGUGUAAAACCCCUACGCGUAAUGAAAGUGAACGCAGGUGAGAGCUUCGGCGCAUCAUCGACCGAUCCUGAUGUUCUCGGAUGGAUUUGAGUAAGAGCAUACGGGGCCGGACCCGAAAGAAGGUGAACUAUGCCUGUAUAGGGUGAAGCCAGAGGAAACUCUGGUGGAGGCUCGCAGCGGUUCUGACGUGCAAAUCGAUCGUC